rnacentral:rRNA from 1 species
UACGGAGGGGGUUAGCGUUGUUCGGAAUGACUGGGCGUAAAGCGCGCGUAGGCGGCUUUGUAAGUUAGAGGUGAAAGCCCGGGGCUCAACUCCGGAACUGCCUUUAAGACUGCAUCGCUUGAAUCCAGGAGAGGUGAGUGGAAUUCCGAGUGUAGAGGUGAAAUUCGUAGAUAUUCGGAAGAACACCAGUGGCGAAGGCGGCUCACUGGACUGGUAUUGACGCUGAGGUGCGAAAGCGUGGGGAGCAAACAGG